rnacentral:RNase_P_RNA from 2 species
CAGGUCGAAAGCCGCAUUUGCUCGUCACAUACGGUCGACAUGUUCGACUAUUCUCGCGAGCGGGCUAAGGUCUGAGGAUUCUAGUCUCUCUGUGCUUGCGUCUAGCUGGCGCCAACGGUGAUUCGUUGAGCAGAGCAUCAGACACGCGUUUGUUGCGUACUGCAUCGCCCAGAGAUCCGCGAGGGGAGGGCAUGUGCGUUGCAAACUUGGAACAACUCUGCAGGGACCGGGCCUCCUUUUUCAUUUCCCACUGCCUCUGACCCCGCCCAAGAGAGUCUAUCCAAUCCGGCGCGCUUGUAUAGCGCAACUCCACCCGGUUCGGACGUUCCCACUGAGUGGAACGCUGGACCUGUGGAGGAUGCUUACGAGAAAGUGGUGGGUUCCCCGGUCGAUACGACGAACGAUAAGUUCAAGUUCCCCGGACCUCUCUGUGCCGGUUGGUGGUGGAUUAUUGUGCGAUUCGCUUUACGCAUUGUUAUAUAGCGCAGACGAUGUAAUUCCUGCUGCUGAUGUUGUUACGAGCUCUAGUGCCCAGUGAUUCUUCCCGGAUGGCCGCCUUCUCUUUUGUGUAGGCGCUGCGGCGUUAGUCAACGGCUAUGUGCCUGGUUUACUGCCCGCACCACUUUUUCUUGGGUCAGGAGGGCUCUUUCGGGUGGGCGAGGGGUGUGGUGGGAUGUGGUGAGUUGGCCCUUGAGUUCACUUUGCGGCUCGCGCCUUUGGGUGUGAAACUCGAUUCAGACUACUCUUCUGUCGUG